CUGUGUGCGCGCCCGUGUUCAUGUAGCGAUUCUGGGUGGGUCCCUGGUUCUAGCAUGCAACCGGCUUGCAUGUGCGUGCACGAUGCGCAGUUCCCAUUGGGCUGCAUGUGCGAUUUGUCUCCAGCAGCCGACUUGUGUGCCAUGUUCCUCCGUCUUUUCCCAACGGUUUUGUCUUUUUCCGUUUGUCCUUGCUUGCAUGUGCCGAAUCCCAUGCUGUCGUGGCCAACUUUUACGCCGUCUGUUGUUUCAAAAUUGAAUUUUUGUUUGCGGCGCGUGUGCCUUUGUGCAGUCGGCUGCCGCUCCGGUCGUGCUUUCUAGGCCUGGUACUUCGUCGGCUGCCGCCUUUCUUUAUUCUUCUGGUCGCUUCUUCCUCACAUGCAGUGGCUGUCUUUGAUUUGUCUUUCGAUUCGUCGUCGCCUGCUAUAAAUACGGGCCCUCCCAUCGAGCUUCCUCUCAUUCUGAUUUCAGCCAGGUGCGCGUUCCUUCCUGCAUUUAGUGGCAGGAUUUAUAGAGGCAGCGAUGGUUAGUCCUCCUGUUGUUCGGUCUGGUCGGGGCCGGCGGGACGUGCUCCUGGGAUCCGGGCGGCUGUUAUCGCGCGUGUGCGUAAUGGCUGCGGUCGUUUCCCUCCUGCGGAUCGUCCAACAGUAAUGGGAGAGGCUGUUGUCCGUGAUGAAUUGCCUGUUGUUCAUUUAAGGUGUCGUUGCCGCCGUGCGGUUCGCCGGCCGUUGCGUUCUGGACGGAUGGUCAACGUUUGGUUCCCGAUGGGGAAGGGUGGUCUUGAUCGCCGCCGUCGAGAGAUUUCUUGACUCUACUUAAUGCAAGUGCGCUGGCUUCUUGCUGUGCAUGCGACUGUCUCUGUCUGCUUGCGUACGUUUCUUUUUCUGCCUUGCUUACUACACUCGCUUCUUUCUUCUCUUCUCUUCCUUUUUGUGAAGGCUACACUCCUACUGCUGAUUGUUCUUGUGCACUUGGUGGUCUCAUGCCUGCUGCUCCGCUCGCCGGCGUGGGAUCUGGUGAGUUUCUGCUUCUUCUCUGUGUAUUAUGUUGGUUGUGCUGGCUGCUGUAAGAUGGGCAUAAUUUUUUUGUGUUGACGUUGGGACGGUUGGUGAUGAUUUUUUCCUUUCUAUAAGCUGCUUGUGUGGGUCUUUGCGUGUGGUCCAUGCGACAUGUGUUUUUUUUUGUUUCAUUUGCUUUGCUACAUGGAUUUCGGCCUGUUCGUCCAAUGUUUUGUUGCAGCUUCCUCGGUGGCCCAGACGGUUCAUGGGUCGUCUGGUUAUCCUUUUUCUCUUCCUGAUGAUGUCCACCUUGAUCAUCGCUUGGUGGGUGUUCCGUCUGUUGUUAAUCGUUCCAAGGGUGUGCCUUUGCGUGUGGCCGGUGCUUUCGGUCGGCCUACUCCUCUUGGUGAGUUUAGGUUCUGAAACAUGCAUCUGCCACUGCCUUUUUUCUUUUCUUUUUUUGUUUGUGUUGGAUAUGGUUCUAAUUUGUAUAUGUGGCUGUUUUUUGAGUGAUGCCUACUCCUGUCAUGGGAAACUUCGUAAGCGGGCGCUGAUGCGGGUUUGCAUGCGGGGAUCUCCUUUGCAUGCCAUUUUUUUUUCUGCUUGCGAUCCAGCGCGCCUUCUGUGUGUCCUUGUUUUAGAGGGUUCCAUAUAUAUAUAUUUUUAAUCCUGACUUGCAUGGCGGUUAGACGGUGUUGGUCUUCACGAUGGUUCUGGCGCCGCCGUGUGCAUCGACGCUUCUGGGCGCCGCUUUGCAGAUCGAUGCUUCUGGUCGCUGCUUUGCACGAUACUUCUGGUAGGGUUUGCCAUCUCCGAUUCGCUUCGCCUCACGAAGCGGUGUUCUUUCUUGGUGGAUAGGUCGUGGUGGUUCUUGCCGAAGUGGUGCCCGCCGCCGGGGCCGUCGAUACCUCGUCGGAGCCCCAACUGCCGGGAUGCAAUUCAUCUCUCAACGCCGGUACAAUCUCCCCUACACGGCCGAGUUGGCGGCGCACGCAUGACAUAUCACCGACUACCAGCGGGAGCCAUCACCGACUACUUGCAGGAGGUGCAUGCGGAGGCCCCGAUAUGGUGGGGUUCAGUGCAGCAAUCUAGCCGAUGCUGCUAUCCUCGGCCGUCGGUCACCGACUCUGCCACGAACCCCUACGCCGCCCCAAACACCCCCAUGGCCAUCCCCGUUGGCGACGACUUCUCGCGGUUUGGGUAGGGCAGCGGAGGCUACGACGGGAGGGUUAGAGGUGGCGGUGGCGGCUGAGAGGCUAAAUCCAGGUUAAUGUCACGUCGCUCAAUCCAUCUAUUUUUUUCCGUGCUGGUGGCUUCCGCUCUGGUGGUAGAGGAAGCGGGGAAGGGAGGGAUGGGCUGGGCCGGGCAUGCCUUAUAAUGUAUCUGUGCAGAUUAUAAUAUUUCCAUCAAUGACCAUAA